rnacentral:lncRNA from 1 species
ACGCGGGGCUCCAGCUUGCCGCGGCCAGCCGGCCGCCUGCUCGCACCCCGCCCGGGCCGCCCCCCGCCAUGAGCGCCGCGCGCUGGCUGCAGGCAGAGUCGCUGCCGCCCGGCCGCCGCUGGCUCCAGUCCGCCGCCAUUAUUCUUUGUUCGCUGCGAGCGGCGGCGGUGUUGUGGGGCUCGGGCGGAGGCUCCAUCUUUACCGCGGCCCCUCCUGCGAGGGGAAGGCCCCGAGCGCGGGUGUCCGGCGCCUCCCCGGCCCCCCUCCGUCCCCCCGGCUCUCUCCGGCUCCUGCCUCCUCCUCCUGCUCCUCUUACCGGUGGUACAAGCUCCUCCGUCACUGCUUUCGUUCGCGGCCCGGAUCUCGCUGGAGUUUUAUUCUCUCCCCCACGUAACACACCGCGUCAAACUACACCUCCGCCGCGUCACUCACCAACACUCCGCUUCUCCCAGCCGCCCGGGCCACAGGCAGCAGCAGCCGCCGCCGACUGAGGAGCCGCAGCCAGGGAGCCAGCCAGCGCCGCCCAGUGCCGAGUGCGCAGCGGCCACUCACGGAAACAGCCGAGCUCGGCCCGGAGCCGCUCGAGAGGCCCCGCCCCCACGCUGGCGGCGGAACCUGCCGAAGGCUUUCGGCCUCUUCCGGGAGCAGCAAAGGCAUGGAUCGCGGAAGACAGGUGUAGGCGGGUUGAGACCCGCUCUGCUGGAGCGGUCCAAACCUCAAUACGGCGAGCUGAGGCUUCAAACGCCGGCUGAGGAAAUUUGGAGGAAGCGGGGUUUGAGUGCGGCCAGAUCGGGGGAUUCCCGGGGUGGCGGGGACUUGAUGGAAACCCCCGCGCGGUCUGAUCCUGCGGCGGAAGCAGACCGCCCGGGAACUUUGACAAGCCGCGAGGGUCAGGAGCCGUGCCGGCGAGCUGGAAGGGCAGGCGGACGCCGGCCACCAGCAAGGGGAAUCUGCCGAGAACUGUCUAAAGGGCCCCAGGUGGUUCUUUGCCGGAAUGAAAGCUACCUGACACGUGGCAUGUGAGAUUCUGCUUGGCUGCCUGUACAGCCAGAGCCCUGCGGGGAGGAAAACCAUAGGACACAGAAGAGGCUGAUUUGGAGCAGAGAGAGCAUCCAGAUGUGGGGGUGACAGAUGGAAUCGGCAGGGAAGGAUUUGUUCUCGGGAUCCUUAAGAAAUUGCUGUAUCCACCCAACUUUCAGCAACCAAGACAACCAGUCAGCAGCCUUCAACAUCCAGGCAAAACCUAUGAGCAAAAAGAUGACUGAAGACUCCAACAGUGAUCAGCAACUUUCAACAUUGAACUACUUUAAAAUUGAGGCAUUAUAGUAAUUACUUGAUUCUCUGUGAAAAAAUACCUGGCCAAUGCAACUUAAGUGGGGGAGGUUUGUUUUGUCUCACAGCUAGAGGGCACAGUCCAUAAUGUCAGAGACGGUGGCAGGAUGGCAGCAGGAGAAGAAGAUGCAGGUCAUAUUGCAGUCACAUCCAGGAAGCAGAGAGAGAGAGAGAUGAUGAUGACCGUGCUUUGCUCACAUUCUCCUGUUUUAUUUUGUUUUGUUUUAAUUUACUCCAGGAUCCCAACACAGGGAAUAGAACAGACCACAUUUAGGGUAGUCUUUCCAACUCAGCCAGCCUAAUCUGGAGAACACCUCAUGGGCAUGUCUGGUGUUCAUUUUAAAUCCCAUCAAUCAAGAUUAACCAUUACUGUUUUGUCUAUUUCUUAUUUCAGACACAAUGAACUGACACACUUGUGUAAACAUGACUCUUACUUGCACUUAGAAACAAAAGAGAGUUUCAGAACUUGCAUUAGGCAAUAUUAACAUGAAUAAUUUUAAUGAGGUGGUUUGAAACCAAACCUGCAAUAUCUGAUGUAUUCUUCCAUUAAAUAACAACUGAUAAAUAUUUUUUAAAGUACAAAGAUGUCUAAGUUUUCUCCACUGUCUUGAAUUUUCUCAAGGGGUAAAAUGAUGACAAUGGCAUCACGAGAUUAUUUUGAGGGUGAAAUGGAAAGACCCAUAUACAUCACACAACACUGGAAGUGACAAGGGAGAGUGCAGAUUUCCAUAACUGCUGUCACCAAAGUUAUAUUCAUUGAUAAACAUCUAGAAUUUUUCUGUAGAGUUUUAAAUUCAUAAAUUCUAUUCCAAUGCAAUAUAUGAAAAGACAAGUACAGGCAAAUCAUUUCAAGCAGCUUUGAAAAAUUUUCAUUUUCAGAGUUGGUCUUUUUUUGAGUUUAAGUCUUUUAGAACAUAUUUGCCUCAGAGACAUUGGUUUUGGGGAAUUUUCUUUUCUUCUUGCAAUGUUGCUGUUACAUCAGGAAUGUUGGAAAGAAGCGAUGAGCAUAUCUGAAAUGUG